rnacentral:misc_RNA from 1 species
AUACCAAGGUAUGAUUCUGAUCAUUCUCGGGGUUUCAAAAUCUACCUGCGUCUAAGCUUGACACAACACAAGGACUUGUACAUACUUUCCUACUGUAUAUAUUUGCGUUGUAUAUUGACUAUUUCUUUGUGUUGCUUUGCCUUUCCUCGAUUUAUCAUGAUCUUCUUCCUCAGAGCACAAUGAUUCAUAUAUUUCAUGCCUUAAAUUUAGAUGUUAGGUUCUUCUUGUAGUUCAUUUAAUUUUGUUUCAAUCCCCUG